AAGAAAAAAAAAAAAGGAAACACCUAAUUCUCACUGGACUUCCGAAAAAACCUCACGACUCGACUCAGCUAACCCAGUGUCUCUUCCCCCGACCAAGCGACAGCGGCGGGUGGCGAUCCGCGCUGCGGGGGGCCCGGGGAUGCGCUUCCCGGCCAGGGGCGACCCGCGCCCGGACACCGCAGCCGCGCGGCCCCGCUGCCCCCGAGCGCGGCUCGGCCUGCCCGCGAGAAUCGCUCCCGAGGGCCAGAACGGAGAACAGCAAAGAAAAUAUAUGAUCAGAAUAACCCACCACGCACGCAGAGGAAGAACAAGAAACCGUCCUGGAAAGGGAACUAAAGAAGCGGAGAAAAUAAGCUAACCAUUUACAACUGCCUCCAUACAUCCCGAGGAGACGGAGGGAGCCAUCUCUUACCGCCUCUGCACUGGCUGGAAAGCUGUCUUUAGUAACUUUUUCUCUACUUCCAAGGCACUAGAUCGAUCUAAAAAGAGAAGGGGAAAAAAAGUGUUCCUUUAUAGCCCCCGUUUUAUUCCUCCCAUCCCUGAAUUAAGCCUCGAGAUUCAAGAUCUUUUCUCAGCGAGUUGCAAAUACGACACAACGACUGCUCUGCUGCAGGGGUGACCGUCAGAGAAAACACACCGACCCCCGAGCGAGCCUGACCUGGCGGCCGGGUCCUUCCCGCAAAAGCGACGACAACAGCAACAAAAAAUUAUCUCCGUUGGAGGAAGGUUUCUUCAGAAGGGGGAGGAGAAGAGAAGGGGACAAGAGUGCGUGUGCGCCUUUCCUUCAAGGUUUGGGGAGCUAAAAUGAUUUAGUACCUUGUCUGUAAAUCUAAUGACCUAAGGUGAGAAAAAAUACUUCAUCUUUUAUUAUUACCAUUUGUGGUGAGCGUUACCAGGAAACAGCAGAACCCUUUUGAAAUGGUAAAUAUAUGUAUCCAUUUAAAACCCAUUAUUGCUGAGAUUUUCCCAAAGAGAAAUAAAGCAAAUCUGCCCAA